GACAGAGGGUGCGAACGUUGUUCGGAAUUACUGGGCGUAAAGCGCGUGUAGGCGGCAGCGCAAGUCGGGCGUGAAAUCCCACGGCUCAACCGUGGAAGUGCACUCGAAACUGCGCAGCUAGAGUCCUGGAGAGGAAGGUGGAAUGCUUGGUGUAGAGGUGAAAUUCGUAGAUAUCAAGCGGAACACCGGUGGCGAAGGCGGCCUUCUGGACAGUGACUGACGCUGAGACGCGAAAGCGUGGGGAGCGAACAGG
rnacentral:rRNA from 1 species